rnacentral:RNase_P_RNA from 1 species
AGAGUUGGCUGGACAGUCGCCGUAUCGCUUUGCGGUAGGGAGGAAAGUCCGGGCUCCAUAGGGCAGAGUGCCAGGUAAUCCCUGGGGGGCGUGAGCCUACGGAAAGUGCAGCAGAGAGUAGACCGCCGAUGGCCUCGUAAGAGGAUCAGGUAAGGGUGAAAGGGUGCGGUAAGAGCGCACCGCGCGACUGGCAACAGUUCGUGGCAUGGUAAACCCCACUCGGAGCAAGACCAAAUAGGAACCCUUGGGUGUGGCCCGCACUGGGUUCGGGUAGGUUGCUAGAGGCAGUCAGUGAUGGCUGUCGUAGAGGAAUGACUGUUCACGACAGAACCCGGCUUACAGGCCAACUCUUAUU